rnacentral:lncRNA from 1 species
GAGGAAGAGGAGACUUCUAUAAAUAAAAUAUGGUAUUAUAAUGCGCUAUCUGUAAUACGGGGUAUAUUUUAUGUAGAAACUUGAAACUGUUGAGACGCUUGGGCUAUAGUGGGGGCUGCCUGCCCCGUAUUGGGCUUUGAACGUUCGACAUACUGCCCGGUAGAAACACGGGCAGUGAGGAGAUAAAAUGGGAAUUGUCAGUAAGCCAAUAAUAGAGUUUGGGGGUUGGGGGCGGGGGUCCAUAAAAAGGGUUUACUGGGAGUUCUAAUAAGUGGUACAGUCUGAGGGAACAUUUUUGUACAACAUUCAAUACUUUUCUUAAGAGGAGUUGCUAUCACGGGGAUCAAUCCCCAUUUUCAACCGAGAAGCUGUGAGUUCGAGUUUUCCUAAGAGCAAGGUGAGAAGUUCUUGGAGGGAAGGAUGCCGGGGUCUAUUUGGAAACAGCGUCUCUACUCUAGGGCAGGGGUAAGGUCUGCGUACAUACUAUCCUCCUCAGAUCCCACUAACUGAAAUUAUACUGAGUUGUUGCAUUCAAUACCUUUUUCUGUCUUUUUAUACUACUUCGACCUAGUUCUAUGUAUAGUUGCUCGGAAUUUAAUGUUGAUUUUAAUUUUUUGGUGAAUUCGAACAUUUAUAUUUAAAUUUUUCAAAAAUAAAAUUUCAGUAUUAGAAAAUUAGUUUAAACUUUAAAGUGCUAUAAAAUCAUAAGUAUUUCUUUGUAGAGAUGUUGUUCAGUAAGCCUGGGACUAAAUGUCCAAGCUGUUGACUUUGGUUUUUCUUUGAUGGUUGUAAAUAUUGUUUCGUGGAAAUAUAAAUAGAUAGUUAUAAAAAAAAAAAUCUUGUAUGUAAAAUGUAGAAGUGUGUAACUUAAAAAAUUAUUUGACUGUUCAAAUAAUGUAGUAUUAAUUUUUUACUUGUUAGAAUACCCUAAUUGUUGAUUUUGAGCCAAAAUUUUAAAAUUUGGGAAUUAUAUAUAUAUUUUCCCAAAAUAAAGUUGGGAAAUAUAUUUUGAAAAGGUAUGUCCAAACAUAUUUUAUCUUCAAAUCAAACUUUAACUAAUCAGUUUUUUCAAAACAAAUUUGGGAAUUUAUGGCCAAACACAAGCUAAAUUCAAUAGCUACACACAACGACAAAGGCACACUUAGGUUAAGGUAGUUGACCACCUUUUGCCGGAAAACUAUAUUGCUUAUUAUAUAGGUAAAAUAUGAUAUUUUAGUGGUAUAUAAUAUUUAUUAAAUAUUUUUUAUAUUUUUUUAUUUAUUUCAAACAAAAUUUUAGCUUCGCCACUAGUUACGCAGAUCUGAUGCGCCAAUAUUUGAUGUUGAUUCUCCUUUGAAAGUGUUAGGAUAAAGUUGUAACUUUAUUUUUAGAAUAAUUAAGAAGUUCAAGUAGAUUUUGAUUCUGAGUGGGUAAUUUUGGUAUAUUUGGUGGAGGUAAUACCUUUCUAGUUUUUAGUACCAUAUACCUGCUUUCUAAGUUCCAACAUGAUAUUUAUCUAGUCACCAAGAAUUUAUUCUCUAGAUAUGCUUUGCAUAGGUCAUAAGUAGUAGCAUUAUAUUUAAAAAUUCCAUUACUAUUCUUCGUUGAGUUUUGCAUUAAUCAGUAUACAAAUGUUAACUAAUAAUUACUCAGUGAUCUAAUUUUACUUCAAUCAUAAAUCAAGUUAAACCAAACUGUGAUAAAUAAUACUCAAUUUUCUUUUGUUGCCAAACUCGACUUCGAUAGAGAUAAAUUCUUUUUAGGAAAUGCUUGUUAAUGCAUUAUCAAUAAACAUACAACAACAACAACCCAGUAUAAUCUCACUUAGUAGGGUCUGGGGAGGGUAGUGUGUACGCAGACCUUAUCCUUAUCCUUGGGUAGAGAGGCUGUUUCCAAAUAGACCCCCGGCAUCCUUCAUUCCAAGAGCUUUCCACCUUGCUCUUGGGGAGACUCGAACUCACAACGUCUCGGUUGGAAGUGGUAGUUGCUUACUAUCAGAGCAACCCUCUGGCCUAUUAUCAAUAAACAUAUACUACUUAAUUACUUUAUGCAUGUAUUUGUGAGAGGUACCAGAUGUAUUAGGCAAGAUACGUGUAAGUUGAUCCGAAUACAACUGUUACAAAAAAAAUUACAUUAUAAUUACUUUGACCUCUUUGAAAGUAAUUAAAAAUUAGUUUAACAUCUGUUAUAGGUAAUUUCUGCAAAUUAGAGUGGAAUGCUAGUCAAAGUUGGAGGUAGCAUCUCUUGUGAUGGCAAAUUAGUUUUCUGUACCAUGUAGAAUAAUUGUACUUUGUUAAGCAACUUGUAAUAUUAUCUACAGAUAUAGAAGGAGAAUAAAGAUAAUGAAUGGAAACCAACGAAAAAUUGGAAUUAAUUGUAAUACCAUCAGACAAGAGGGGUUGCUCUUAUGGUAAGCAACCCCCACUUCCAACCGAGAGGUUGCGAGUUCGAGUCUCCCUAAGCGCAAGGUGGAAAGUUCUUGGAGGGAAGGAUGCCGGGGGUCUAUUUGGAAACAGCCUCUCUACCCAAGUGUAUAGGUAAGGCCUGCGUACACACUACCCUCCCAAUUGGAAUUGAUUCUAAAAGCAAAAGGACCAGUGGUUUCAAUGUUCUCCGCAUAAACUGUUGAUUCCUUCGCGUUUUCACUGUUUCUUUGAAGAUGUCUACUUUUUCAGCUGGUUAGUUCAUCAACUAUUAAUUACUUGAGCACUUUAGCAAAUCUCAAUUAGUCCCAUUUUGCUAAAUAUGUCUUUUUUAGUACUAUGUCUCAAAAGAAUAUCAUCUUCUGUAUUUGGAAUACUGACGUGACUUGUCGAAAUUCAACUGAUAUCUAUAGUCUCAUGAAUUUAUGAACCAUAACACAUACAUGAACAAACUAACCAUACCCUUCCAGUCUUCUAGAUGGAAGAUAAACUUCUUAAAAUCACAUAGAAUUGGUGCUAAGUUUGCAAGCUUAACCUGCUGAAUCCAACUGCUUUACCGACCACUCGGCAGCAACUAUCCCUUCAGGAGAUCCAAUGAACCUCAGUAUACACCCCAAAGAUGACAUUCUGGUAAAGAGCAAGUGAUAAGCAACUAUGAUGUUGAAGCAAGUUCAGCUUCAAGUGUCAAUUUAACACCAUCCCUAAAUGUAGUUGUUGACAUAUUGAGCGUCUGAAUCAAUCUGGUGAUAUCCAUGGAUAUAUCUGCUGGAGAUUUAACACCGCGGUUAACCUAGAAAGUUCAGACAACGCACGCAUGUUAGGUACACGGUUUGAACAGAAAAACAGUACUGAUAUUUUAUUCCAACUGCUCUGUGCUUGUAGUGCAACACAACAGGGAGAAAAUGACAGUGAAAGCAGACUGAAAGCUCAUAUAUUGGUACAAAAGAAGCUGGACACAAAUGAGAAGUUAAGAGUCGAUCUUUGAUAAUUUGUUUGUGUGUACAUGCAAAUGUCAUUACUUACAGUUGAUGAGGACACUGGUUUGAUCAAUGACAAACUAUAACCUCUAAUAUGUGCAACAGCUUCAGCCAUCUGAACCCUGGAAACCCGAUCUGGUCCGCCCACGUUCAAAAGUAACUGUAUCGGCUCUCUCCCUAGAAACAACAAACAUCAAGUGAUAAAACACAAAAAGUCAAGGAGACAGAAAUUCAGGUAAUCUUUAGUCACAAAAUUUACUAGAAGGCUUUAAAAGGAAAAAGAUAGAUAAUAUAAAUGUCAACCGCAUCAAUAGUAAUGUUGUGGAAUUUUUCUGCAUUGAGCUAUAGUGAACCAUUGGACACCGAGCUAAACUAUUGUUCUGGAUUAUAUUCCAGUUACCUCAAUAAUAUAUUUAAAAAGAAUCAUCAUGCAACAAGAAAGGGUGGAUUAAAUAUGUAGAAAACUACCAUAAAGAAUAGAACCAAUCCUAGAACAUUUUCAGAAGGUAACUGAUACCUUUCUAUCCCAAAGCUCCAAUUCUACCUCUGAAAAGAAGAACCUUUGAAGGUCUUUACAAUGGACUUUCAAAAAAUAAAAAGAUGGGCAUGAUACAGUCCAAUCAGAGAUUACAGUGAAAAGCUUUCAGUAACAUAACACACACAUGUAAAAAAAAAAAAAAAAGAAGGGUAUCACAUACUCCUCUUUUUUUUUUCUGGGAGAAAGGUAACAGGUGAAAGAGUAACAUCUUUGUUAAUACAGACAUCGAGGCUUGUCAAAAAGCUACGUAGUUUUGAUCAAUGCAAUCCAGUCUGGAGGGUCAAAGCAUGACAAACCUGAGAUCCAUCUAUUUGUUAAUGUCCAUACGAUGGUCACAAGAUCCUUAACAUAGAUAGGACAACGAAACUCAUCGUGGAAAAACUCCAUGGCAUCUCCCUUCGCAAGAACGCUAUCCAUCCACUGCAUGGUUUUCAUGUAAAGAAUUAGAGCAAAUCCCAGCAGUCAAGUAAUUUAAUGCCAGAUAUCAUAAUAGAAAUGCUUAGUUGAGACAUGGUUGUUCUUGUCCUUGUAUCAUAAUAGAAUUAUACUAAAGUAAUCAAUUUUAUGUUCAGUUGAACAACAGUACUAUAGAUUAUAAAGCUUAAUAGAGUUACUCACUCCCUAUGAUAUGACCAUUGAGUCUAAAAAUAGGGGACAAUCAGAUGAAAUUCAAUAGUAAUCUCAGAUAGAGCACGAAUUAUUAUGUGCAAGCUUGAAUACGUCUCAAGAUCAAUCUUAAAUCAACUUCCAGGCUAAACAAAAGGCAAGCUUGACAUACUAUGAAGUGGUUAGUAUGGCCCCCACUCAGUCUACUGAACAAUCCUAAUGAAGUUGGAGAAGUGCAAGAACAAGGCGAAGUUCAUCGUAUCUACCUG